CUGUGGGGUCCUCCAACACAAUGUGACUCUCAGGAUCAACGCUACUAUUGACAAGGGGACAGAGUGGUGGUGUAAGGAUACAGUGAAGAGCGAGACAAGCAACCAUAUAACAUUACUUUCUGCGAAGUCUGGACGACAUGCUGAUCUAUCAAGACUUACAGACAGCGAUGCUAAAGACAACGGCUCGGGAAGCAGGACUGUUAUUUACAUAGCUGCAGGGUCCGCCUGUGCAGUUGUAGUAAUCAUCGUUGUAGUCG